CUAGCAGUUGCAUUCACUUCCUCUUGAGAAGCUCCAAGCAGUGGAUUGACUUCAACCAAGUCUACAGCUGAAAGCAUCCCUGCAAGAAUGAUUUACAGCUUUGUUACUGUGGAAAAGGGUGAAGUUGAUGAUGAUUAAGCUGCUUCCAACACCCAGGGCACUGCCCAACCCUAGAAUUACUACUUCCCUGACUGAAGGCUGAAUUGACUUUGUAGGCACCCUGGCUAUCACUGCAUUUAUCUCACUGUCUACUGUCACAGGAAAAACAUAACCAACAUGAAUGAGCUCUACAGAGUUUGUCCUGCCCUUGCUUAGUCCAGUACUGCUGAUCAACUCCUACCUGUGUCGUGUAUUUCCUCCGUGAUGUACAUGCCUUCUCUGUAAGUUAAUCCACCUAGGACAGGAGUCCCAGUUGCUGGAGCCAGUGAGGGAUCAAAAGCAUCAAUGUCAAAACUCAGGUGAAUCGGUCUCUGUCUCCUGAGACAGAAUAAAACAAGAAAAGGAACCUCAGAA